CCGAAAAUAGCUCAGCGGUAGAGCGGGAGACUGUAGUUGAGCUGGGUCGUUCCAGCUAAAAGUUAUCUCUAGGUCCCUGGUUCAAAUCCGGGUUUUCGGA
rnacentral:tRNA from 3 species